GGGGUUGUGGCUCAGUGGUAGAGUGCUCGCCUAGCCUGUGAGGCACUAGGUUCGAUCCUCAGCACCA
rnacentral:tRNA from 1 species